rnacentral:rRNA from 1 species
CAGUACCGUGAGGGAAAGGCGAAAAGAACCCCGGCGAGGGGAGUGAAAAAGAACCUGAAACCGUGUACGUACAAGCAGUGGGAGCCUCUUAAUGGGGUGACUGCGUACCUUUUGUAUAAUGGGUCAGCGACUUAUAUUCUGUAGCAAGGUUAACCGAAUAGGGGAGCCGAAGGGAAACCGAGUCUUAACUGGGCGUUAAGUUGCAGGGUAUAGACCCGAAACCCGGUGAUCUAGCCAUGGGCAGGUUGAAGGUUGGGUAACACUAACUGGAGGACCGAACCGACUAAUGUUGAAAAAUUAGCGGAUGACUUGUGGCUGGGGGUGAAAGGCCAAUCAAACCGGGAGAUAGCUGGUUCUCCCCGAAAGCUAUUUAGGUAGCGCCUCGUGAAUUCAUCUCCGGGGGUAGAGCACUGUUUCGGCAAGGGGGUCAUCCCGACUUACCAACCCGAUGCAAACUGCGAAUACCGGAGAAUGUUAUCACGGGAGACACACGGCGGGUGCUAACGUCCGUCGUGAAGAGGGAAACAACCCAGACCGCCAGCUAAGGUCCCAAAGUCAUGGUUAAGUGGGAAACGAUGUGGGAAGGCCCAGACAGCCAGGAUGUUGGCUUAGAAGCAGCCAUCAUUUAAAGAAAGCGUAAUAGCUCACUGGUCGAGUCGGCCUGCGCGGAAGAUGUAACGGGGCUAAACCAUGCACCGAAGCUGCGGCAGCGACGCUUAUGCGUUGUUGGGUAGGGGAGCGUUCUGUAAGCCUGUGAAGGUGGCCUGUGAGGGUUGCUGGAGGUAUCAGAAGUGCGAAUGCUGACAUAAGUAACGAUAAAGCGGGUGAAAAGCCCGCUCGCCGGAAGACCAAGGGUUCCUGUCCAACGUUAAUCGGGGCAGGGUGAGUCGACCCCUAAGGCGAGGCCGAAAGGCGUAGUCGAUGGGAAACAGGUUAAUAUUCCUGUACUUGGUGUUACUGCGAAGGGGGGACGGAGAAGGCUAUGUUGGCCGGGCGACGGUUGUCCCGGUUUAAGCGUGUAGGCUGGUUUUCCAGGCAAAUCCGGAAAACCAAGGCUGAGGCGUGAUGACGAGGCACUACGGUGCUGAAGCGACAAAUGCCCUGCUUCCAGGAAAAGCCUCUAAGCAUCAGGUAACAUCAAAUCGUACCCCAAACCGACACAGGUGGUCAGGUAGAGAAUACCAAGGCGCUUGAGAGAACUCGGGUGAAGGAACUAGGCAAAAUGGUGCCGUAACUUCGGGAGAAGGCACGCUGAUAUGUAGGUGAAGCGACUUGCUCGUGGAGCUGAAAUCAGUCGAAGAUACCAGCUGGCUGCAACUGUUUAUUAAAAACACAGCACUGUGCAAACACGAAAGUGGACGUAUACGGUGUGACGCCUGCCCGGUGCCGGAAGGUUAAUUGAUGGGGUUAGCGGUAACGCGAAGCUCUUGAUCGAAGCCCCGGUAAACGGCGGCCGUAACUAUAACGGUCCUAAGGUAGCGAAAUUCCUUGUCGGGUAAGUUCCGACCUGCACGAAUGGCGUAAUGAUGGCCAGGCUGUCUCCACCCGAGACUCAGUGAAAUUGAACUCGCUGUGAAGAUGCAGUGUACCCGCGGCAAGACGGAAAGACCCCGUGAACCUUUACUAUAGCUUGACACUGAACAUUGAGCCUUGAUGUGUAGGAUAGGUGGGAGGCUUUGAAGUGUGGACGCCAGUCUGCAUGGAGCCGACCUUGAAAUACCACCCUUUAAUGUUUGAUGUUCUAACGUUGGCCCGUAAUCCGGGUUGCGGACAGUGUCUGGUGGGUAGUUUGACUGGGGCGGUCUCCUCCUAAAGAGUAACGGAGGAGCACGAAGGUUGGCUAAUCCUGGUCGGACAUCAGGAGGUUAGUGCAAUGGCAUAAGCCAGCUUGACUGCGAGCGUGACGGCGCGAGCAGGUGCGAAAGCAGGUCAUAGUGAUCCGGUGGUUCUGAAUGGAAGGGCCAUCGCUCAACGGAUAAAAGGUACUCCGGGGAUAACAGGCUGAU